rnacentral:rRNA from 1 species
CGGUAAUACCAGCUCUCCGAGUGGUAGGGAUGAUUAUUGGGCUUAAAGCGUCCGUAGCCGGCUUAGCAAGUCUCCUGUUAAGUUCAGCGACCUAAUCGUUGAACCGCGGGAGAUACUACUAGGCUAGGAGGCGGGAGAGGUCGACGGUAUUCUCGGGGUAGGGGUGAAAUCCUAUAAUCCCGGGAGGACCACCAGUGGCGAAGGCUGUCGGCUAGAACGCG